UACGUAGGGGGCUAGCGUUGUCCGGAAUCAUUGGGCGUAAAGAGCGUGUAGGCGGCCCGGUAAGUCCGCUGUAAAAGUCAAAGGCUCAACCUUUGAAUGUCAGUGGAUACUGCCGGGCUAGAGUCCGGAAGAGGCGAGUGGAACUCCUGGUGUAGCGGUGGAAUGCGCAGAUAUCAUUUGGAACGCCAAUGGUGAAAACAGGUUGCUGGGAGUGUGCUGACGCUGAGACACGAAAGCCAGGGGAGCGAACGGG
rnacentral:rRNA from 1 species